GACGAACGCUGGCGGCGUGCCUAAUACAUGCAAGUCGAACGAGUGGUGGACGGGUGAGUAACACGUGGGAACCUACCCAUCAGACGGGGAUAACACUUGGAAACAGGCGCUAAUACCGCAUACUGAUGGAUGGACCAGCGGUGCAUUAGCUAGUUGGUGAGGGAACGGCUCACCUAGGCGACGAGCCCUAGCUGGUCUGAUAGGAUGACCAGCCACACUGGAACUGAGACACGGUCCAGACUCCUACGGGAGGCAGAAGUGGGGAAUAUUGCACAAUGGGCGCAAGCCUGAGGCAGCCAUGCCGCGUGUGUGAAGAAGGCCUUCGGGUUGUAAAGCACUUUCAGCGAGGAGGCGUUACUCGCAGAAGAAGCACCGGCUAACUCCGUGCCAGCAGCCGCGGUAAUAC
rnacentral:rRNA from 1 species